rnacentral:misc_RNA from 1 species
CUUACCAAAAUCUUUUCUUUUUUUUUUUUUCGUUCUCCCUCUUUCUUGGAAAAUACAAGGAUGACUGGCGUAUCUGAUGGAGAAAGUGUCUCUCUUGAUCUUCUCAAGAUGAAAAUGGCUGAGUUUGCCAAGGAAAGGGACUGGGAUCGAUUUCACAGCCCCAGAAACCUGCUUUUGGCUUUGGUGGGUGAAGUGGGAGAAUUAUCGGAGAUAUUUCAGUGGAAAGGAGAGGUACCAAAGGGACUACCUGAUUGGAAAGAAGAGGAGAAGGUGCACCUUGGGGAAGAGCUGUCCGAUGUUCUGCUGUAUCUUGUACGACUCUCUGAUAUCUGUGGAAUUGACUUAGGCAAAGCCGCUAUGAGAAAAGUAGAAUUGAAUGCUAUCAAGUACCCAGUAGGCAUGUGCAAAGGGUCUUCCAAGAAACACAACAACAACA